rnacentral:rRNA from 1 species
CAGCAGUGGGGAAUAUUGCACAAUGGGCGCAAGCCUGAUGCAGCCAUGCCGCGUGUAUGAAGAAGGCCUUCGGGUUGUAAAGUACUUUCAGCGAGGAGGAAGGCAUUGUGGUUAAUAACCGCAGUGAUUGACGUUACUCGCAGAAGAAGCACCGGCUAACUCCGUGCCAGCAGCCGCGGUAAUACGGAGGGUGCAAGCGUUAAUCGGAAUUACUGGGCGUAAAGCGCACGCAGGCGGUUGAUUAAGUCAGAUGUGAAAUCCCCGAGCUUAACUUGGGAACUGCAUUUGAAACUGGUCAGCUAGAGUCUUGUAGAGGGGGGUAGAAUUCCAGGUGUAGCGGUGAAAUGCGUAGAGAUCUGGAGGAAUACCGGUGGCGAAGGCGGCCCCCUGGACAAAGACUGACGCUCAGGUGCGAAAGCGUGGGGAGCAAACAGGAUUAGA